CGAGCCGGGCGGACGGCCGCGACGGGAUCCCUGAUCCCGCCGAGGAACGUCCGGGCUCCACAGGGCAGGGUGGUGGGUAACGCCCACCCGGGGUGACCCGCGGGACAGUGCCACAGAAAGCAGACCGCCGGGGACCUCGGUCCCCGGUAAGGGUGAAACGGUGGUGUAAGAGACCACCAGCGCCUGAGGUGACUCAGGCGGCUCGGUAAACCCCACCCGGAGCAAGGUCAAGAGGGGCCGCCGCGAGGCGGCCCUGCGCGGACGUUCGAGGGCUGCCCGCCCGAGUCCGCGGGUAGACCGCACGAGACCGGCGGCAACGCCGGUCCUAGAUGGAUGGCCGUCUCCCCGGCCGCCGCGAGGCGACCGGGCGACAGAACCCGGCGUACAGCCCGACUCGUCUG
rnacentral:RNase_P_RNA from 1 species